rnacentral:ncRNA from 1 species
UUAGAGUUUGGUUCUGGCUUGGAUUUGGGUUUAUUCUGGAGUUACAUGGUAGUUUUUGCAUUCUAGCUUCCUGGCGGUUCUAAAGGUUUCCAGGGGAAGUAUUAGGUUUCCUAAUGCUUUGUCUACACCAGUAGUUAGCAUUGAUUAUCAAAUAAGUUUGGAUUCAGCCUAGAAUUUUAUGGCCUGUUAACUUUGUGCCAGCAACCGCGGUUAUACAUAGUGGCUAAAAUCAAAUUAAUUAGUGGUGCGGAUGCUCGCGAAGGUAGGAUUGCUAAUAGGAUGGUAAAAUAUAAAGUCUAAGAGUUCUAAGUUGUCUUGUGAUUUCCCGCGAAACUUAGCUCCCAAACCGGGAUUUGGUACCCGCUAUGCUAAGCUUAAAUGCUGAUGACUAGGGAACUACGGCAGUACUAAAACCCAAAGGACCUGGCGGCGUUUUAACUUAUUAGGGGAACCUGUCCUAGAAUCGAUGAUCCACGACUUUCGCUACUUUUCUUAGUUACCAGCCUGUAUACCUCCGUCUUUGGCUCACUUCUAAAGAGUGGGCAGAAUGGUUUUUGCCAGAAUGUCAGGUCAAGGUGCAGCCUAUAGAAAAGGUGAGAUGGGUUUCAUUUCCUAUCAAGAGAGGAAUGUAUAAUAAUUUUUAGAACUUAAAAGUAAUAGAGUAGAAGGAUUAUGAAUGAAGCAAUAAAAUGUGCACAAAUCGCCCGUCGCUCUCCACGAAAGCGGAGAUAAGUCGUAACAAAGUAGGCUUACCGGAAGGUGAGCCUA